rnacentral:tRNA from 1 species
CCAUAUGAGUUUACUACAUCUAUUUUUUACUGCAUAUUUAUAUAAAUAAGAUUAGAAUAUAUUUACAUAGAUCUAUUUUUUGUACAUAGUAACUCAUUAAGGAAUAAUAAAUUGGAUUUACCUAGUGAUAUUAAUAGAGUAUAGUUCCAAAAUGAUUUUUAUUGGAUUUGAUAAAUAGAUAUCAAUG